rnacentral:lncRNA from 1 species
AGUUCAAAACUCUCUUAAAUAACACCAGUAAUGCAUGAAUGAGAAGACCAUUCCCGGAACGCCGCAAAGUNNNNNUCACAGAAUCACGAAUCUGCAAACCAGCGCAACAUCUGACCUGCCGAUCCAUGAGACCCCGUGUGGAACUUGGCACCCACGCAGGACGGCCAGCGGGAGGGAGACUGCAGAUCUGGAAAAAGAGAAACACAAGAAGAUAAAUAAAAGUGUGUGUGUUUUUUUUAAAGUUCCCCAACAUUUGCUUAAUCCGCCACUGUUCUUCUUUCUAUGUUNNNNNNNNNNNNNNNNNCAGGGCUGUCUCUGAUUUUGAAUACAUGCAAAGAGACUUAGAUAAAAUCCCAUUCCAAAGAGGAGCCGGUUUCAGAGAAAGGGACUUUAACACAAGGAUUCUAAUAACACAUUUGGGGAUGGGACAGGGUUUCUGAGUCCCAGGGACCUACUUUUCUGUGUACAGGAUUCCCGGCCUUGGAAGAGGGCUAAAAGGCAAACGUGACUCUUAAACAAUUUAGAACUUCUGUGCUAAACACUGUGCAGCUGGGUGUCAGAAGACGGUCCCCAGGGUAGGUCCUAACACGCCCCAGCUGCGGCUGUGCCCCUGUGAGUCGGCAGGGGGCGGGGCCGAGAGGACCCCACGGAGGCGCUGGAUGCGAGCAAGCGCUGGAUGCGAGCAAGCGCGGUGAUGCUGGGGGCACUUCCCCCAGGCCUUCUAAACAGAUGAAGGAGAAACCAGGGCGUUCGCUCUCGCAAGAGAUGACGCCUCCAGGUGUCUGUCUGCACAGCAAGCGAGGGGCUGCUCUUCCAGUGACUGCGGACCCAUGGCUACUGUUGUGAGGAGCUUAGAAAUCACGGGGAAGCAGAGCUUGGCGAGGGCGAGACAAAUAUCUGGGUCCCCUCUACCCAGAAUGGACCACGGACCUGUUAUUAUCCACUCUUUUCAAAAAAAUCAAACAAAAUGGAGUAUAGGUAUCAUCUCCUUGACCUACUCCAAGGUCCGAUCACCAAUUUGUUUGUAUCUUUCCAGUAGGCUUUUUUUUUUCCCCUUUAAACAUUUACAAUAUGAGUCCCCAGGACAAGGAACAGUGUGUGUUUGUAACUCACGUGUACGAUAUGCAUCUAAGUACACGUAUCUGUUGUUCUCCAUUUGGGCUCAGUGUUACGUGUGUGACCUGACUGUGUUGAGAGUGCUAAGUUUUCGCUCAGCCUUAGCUCACUGCCUUUCCACCAAGCACCAUCAAAGCCGCUUUCAUGCCACUAAACUGUGUGCUGCUUGUGUGUGUGUGUGCGUGCAUACGCAGGUGUGCAUGUGCAAGUUUUCUCGGCAUCUCCACUCAGCUCCUCAAGAUGCUGCUCUUUCUUCUAUACUCUGGCUCCACGAAGAGUGAACAUUAGGCGUGUUAAAAGGCAAAACGUUUGCUGAAAAUUCACAUGCUUAUUAUAAAUCUUCUUCCCUUUUCAAUCAAUAUCAAGGAAUUGACAAGGCAGGAAGAAGGUUGUGUCUGUAACUGCUGCGGCUUUAAAU